CAACCCUUAAGCCUAGCUUAGUGUUGGGAAUCUGCUGUACUGCAGUUCCUUAAAGACAGUGGCGGAGCGGCGGUAGUCCUCUGAGCGUAGUAAUUUAUUUCUCGCUUUUGUCAGGCUCUGUCCUCCCGCCAUAAAACCCCCAAUUUUUUAGUGG
rnacentral:misc_RNA from 1 species